rnacentral:rRNA from 1 species
AUGCUAUACAGAGCCGGGGAUCUUUCUGUCUUGGCCAAACAUAGUGCAAAAGAAGAGCUGCCAAUAGAAGACAAAAGCAAGUUGAGGCUGGAUCUGGAGAGUUAUGUCGCCCUCACUGCAGGUGACAUUCAUGCGGGUUAUCUGAACCGCCUUCACACUAGCCGUGAAAUGGAGGACGUAUUAGUAAACCUCGUGAAGGAACGUUAUGAGGCAGAAUUGAUCAUGCAGCAGUCGCAAGUGGGCGACUUAAAGAAAAACAUCAAGACCCAGCAAGCAGAAUCUUCCAAAACCAAGUCAGAAUUGAAGGCCUCAUUAGAAGCAGCUGAAAAGUUGAAAGCAGAUUUUGACAUUAAGAGAGCCGACUGGGAGAUUGAGAAGGCUGUGCUGGCGAAAAGGGCCGAAGAUGUUGAGGCUGCACUUAAGCCAAUGACUGGAGAAUUAUCCGGCUUAAAGCAACAUAUUAUUCAAAUGACAGCCGCCAUCUUGCAGGCGCAAGGAGUGCCAACCUUGGCCAAGACAUGCUAUUGA